UAUAUACUCCCUACGUCCGGAAAUACUCGUCGGAGAAGUGGAUACAAAUGGAUGUAUUUAGAACUAAAAUAUAUCUAGAUACAUCCAUUCUACGGACAAGUAUUUGCGAACGGAGGGAGUAGAAA
rfam:Triticum aestivum genome assembly, contig: Triticum_aestivum_CS42_TGACv1_scaffold_500465_6BL